rnacentral:lncRNA from 1 species
ACCCCCUUAAUUACCCCCUUAAUUAGUGCCCCCCUUAAUUAGUGACCCCCCUUAAUUACCCCCUUAAUUAGUUCCCCCCCUUAAUUAAUACCCCCCUUAAUUACUGACCCCCCUGGGACCACCCAGGCAGCUCCAGGAGUGGCCCAAGGAACGAGCCCUGAUUCGCCGAUUGGAGCAGAUCUGUCACGUGAUCCUCACCGGCCAAUGGCACGAGAGCCCGCCGGGAGCUCAUUACCAUAACGACCCCGCCCCUCCCCCACCCACCUACACCCGGCUCAGACCCCCCCCACCAGGGAAGGAGUUCACGGUUCAGAUCAAAGACAUGGCGGAUGAGCGCCGGGAGCCGCACAAAUGGCAGCGGAAAAAGGUAAAUUUUGGGGUGAAAAAGGGCAAAUUUGGGGCAAAAUGGGGGUAAAAAUGGGGAGUGGAGGGAAAAAUGUCCAUUUUUGGAGGAAAAAAUGGGGAAAAUUUGGUGAAAAUUGGUGAAAAAAGGGCAAAAAUGGGGAGUUCACAAGGGGGAAGUUGAAGGGAAAAGGUCAAUUUUUGGUGGUUAUUCUGAGGUAAAAUUUGGGGUAAAAUGGGAAAAAUUGGCUUAAAAUGGGCAAAAAUGGGGAUUUUUAAGGUAAAAUGUCCAUUUUUGGGGUUAUUUUGGGGGAAAAAGUGGGAAAAUUGGUAAAAAAUUGGUUUAAAAUGGACAAAAAUGGGGAGUUUAAAGGGGGAAAUUGGUGGGAAAAUGGGCAUUUUUGGGGGUUAUUCUGAGGUAAAAUUGGGGGGAAAUGGGGAAAAAUUGGGUUAAAAUGGGCCAAAAUGGGGAUUUUUGGGGGAAAAUGUCUAUUUUUGGGGUAAUUUUUUGGGAGGAAAAUGGGAAAAUUGGUGAAAAAUUGGGUUAAAAUGGGCUAAAAUGGGGAGUUUAAGGGGGGAAAUUCUGAGGAGGGGGGGGGGUCGUAUUAUAUUAUAUAUGUUAAACUCGGGGGGGGAGGGGGGGG